rnacentral:rRNA from 1 species
CACGUAGGGCGCAAGCGUUGUCCGGAAUUAUUGGGCGUAAAGAGCUCGUAGGCGGACUGUUGCGCCUGCUGUGAAAAGCUGGGGCUUAACCCUGGCCUUGCAGUGGAUACGGGCAGACUAGAGGUAGGUAGGGGAGAAUGGAAUUCCCGGUGUAGCGGUGAAAUGCGCAGAUAUCGGGAGGAACACCGGUGGCGAAGGCGGUUCUCUGGGCCUUACCUGACGCUGAGGAGCGAAAGCGUGGGGAGCGAACAG